rnacentral:lncRNA from 1 species
CCAAAACUUCUAUGCCAAGGAUAGGUUUAGGAAGAAAAAAUGAAAAAUGAGCCAACUAAUUUGGCUAGACCCAAUCUCAUUGAGGCGCCCAAUGUGGUGCUCCCAAAUCCAAAUGGAUUAAGCUAUUGACUUGACUUUAAACCUUAUCAAAUAAGAAACCAAGUCUAGAUAAGAAUUUGGGUUUAACUAUAUGCUAGCAUGGUGCACCUAAAUCUAAUAGAAUUUCACUAAAUCUUAAUCCAAUUGAGACUUCACAAGCCCAAUUGGAUCAAUCCAAGAUUAAAUCCCUUAUUGUAUGACCCC